GUUGAGGAGCCCUGUCUGUUCCAUUGUCCUCCAGAGAAAGAGACAUGGAGUGAUCACCUCAAGCUGCAAGCUUCAACCACUGCUCACCCCAAUAAGAAACACAUCCUUUGUAUAUAGUAAGGAGCACAUUGUAAACUUGGGUGCAGGUAAUGCACAGCCGCUGACUUGUUUAGCGUUGACUGUUGUGGAUGUGCGCAUGUGCACGAUCACUCAGGCCCGUUUUGCCUUCCUCUGGCGGCGAGAGAGCGGGAAAUCGCCUGAUUCCCCGGCGGCGAGUCCUUUUCGAAAGGCCGGACGUCGAGCGACCCGGCGGAUGUCAAAAAUAUAGAUCGGCGUCCACACGGCCCGACCUAAAAUGGGCGCCUUCCGCUCCAAUAUGGUGCGCACCCACCCCCAAGAUAUGCCACUUUCCCAUUUCAGUUGGUGCUUCCCCCCCCCGGGCGGGAGGGGCAACGGAACAAGUGACAUAGGAAGUAAAUUGCACACAAACAAGAAGUGAACUCCAGGCGAGGAAGCUGGAGCACCAAGAGGAAACCCACACAGACACAGGGAGAAUGUGCAAACUCCACACGGAUGGUCACCCAAAGCUGGAAUUGAACCUUGAGUCUCUCACACUGUGAGGUAGCAGUGCUAACCACCAAACUGCCAACUCAGGUGUGUUAUUGCUGGUCCAAAGGAAGAUUCAGUGUACAGCUACUGGAGUUGGCUGUGGCAAUUGUGAUUCUUCUACAGCCUCCUACCCCCAUCAUGUCCUGGUGAUAAUAAAAAGAUCAGUGACAGGUAAUUAAAAGUAGAGAAGUUAUAUCAAAGAAUUUCAAUAAAUAUGAUUUAACAUUACAAUCAUUUUGCUUCACUAUUUUGAACUUCUUCAUCAUUUAAUCUGUGAUGUAAAGAAGGUACACUAAAACUACACACAAUGCUUUUA